rnacentral:rRNA from 1 species
ACUCCUACGGGAGGCAGCAGUGGGGAAUAUUGCACAAUGGGGGAAACCCUGAUGCAGCCAUGCCGCGUGUGUGAAGAAGGCCUUCGGGUUGUAAAGCACUUUCAGUCGUGAGGAAGGUAGUGUAGUUAAUAGCUGCUAUUAUUUGACGUUAGCGAACAAGAAGAAGCGACCGCUAACUCCGUGCCAGCAGCCGCGGUAAUACGGAGGGUGCGAGCGUUAAUCGGAAUUACUGGGCGUAAAGCGCAUGCAGGUGGUUUGUUAAGUCAGAUGUGAAAGCCCGGGGCUCAACCUCGGAAUUGCAUUUGAAACUGGCAGACUAGAGUACUGUAGAGGGGGGUAGAAUUUCAGGUGUAGCGGUGAAAUGCGUAGAGAUCUGAAGGAAUACCGGUGGCGAAGGCGGCCCCCUGGACAGAUACUGACACUCAGAUGCGAAAGCGUGGGGAGCAAAACAGGAUUAGAUACCCUGGUAGGAUAGCGU